rnacentral:rRNA from 1 species
UGCCCCAGUAACGGCGAGUGAAGCGGCAACAGCUCAAAUUUGAAAUCUGGCUCUCGGGCCCGAGUUGUAAUUUGUAGAGGAUGCUUUUGGUGAGGUGCCUUCCGAGUUCCCUGGAACGGGACGCCAUAGAGGGUGAGAGCCCCGUCUGGUUGGACGCCGAUCCUCUGUAAAGCUCCUUCGACGAGUCGAGUAGUUUGGGAAUGCUGCUCUAAAUGGGAGGUAUAUGUCUUCUAAAGCUAAAUACCGGCCAGAGACCGAUAGCGCACAAGUAGAGUGAUCGAAAGAUGAAAAGAACUUUGAAAAGAGAGUUAAAAAGUACGUGAAAUUGUUGAAAGGGAAGCGCUUGUGACCAGACUUGGGCUUGGUUGAUCAUCCGGGGUUCUCCCCGGUGCACUCUUCCGGCUCAGGCCAGCAUCAGUUCGCCUCGGGGGAUAAAGGCUUCGGGAAUGUGGCUCUCUCCGGGGAGUGUUAUAGCCCGCUGCGUAAUACCCUGUGGCGGACUGAGGUUCGCGCAUUCGCAAGGAUGCUGGCGUAAUGGUCAUCAGUGACCCGUCUUGAAACACGGACCAAGGAGUCGUCUUCGUAUGCGAGUGUUCGGGUGUCAAACCCCUACGCGAAAUGAAAGUGAACGCAGGUGAGAGCUUCGGCGCAUCAUCGACCGAUCCUGAUGUUAUCGGAUGGAUUUGAGUAAGAGCAUACGGGGCCGGACCCGAAAGAAGGUGAACUAUGCCUGUGUAGGGUGAAGCCAGAGGAAACUCUGGUGGAGGCUCGCAGCGGUUCUGACGUGCAAAUCGAUCGUCAAACAUGGGCAUGGGGGCGAAAGACUAAUCGAACCUUCUAGUAGCUGGUUUCCGCCGAAGUUUCCCUCAGGAUAGCAGUGUUGAACUCAGUUUUAUGAGGUAAAGCGAAUGAUUAGGGACUCGGGGGCGCUAUUUAGCCUUCAUCCAUUCUCAAACUUUAAAUAUGUAAGAAGCCCUUGUUGCUUAAUUGAACG